GAGGGAGGAAAGAAACAGCAAGGAGUGCUAAUCCUAUGCCCCCGAGGUUAAAGUCCUCGGCUCACUCG
rnacentral:tRNA from 1 species